rnacentral:rRNA from 1 species
UGGGGAUGACGUCAAGUCCUCAUGGCCCUUAUGGUAGGGCUUCACACGUCAUACAAUGGUCGGUACAGAGGGUUGCCAAGCCGCGAGGCGGAGCCAAUACCCACAAAGCCGAUCGUAGUCCGGAUUGUUCUCUGCAACUCGAGAGCAUGAAGUCGGAAUCGCUAGUAAUCGCAGGUCAGCAUACUGCGGUGAAUACGGUUCCCGGGUCUU